UACGUAGGGGGGCAAGCGUUGUCCGGAUUUAUUGGGCGUAAAGAGCGUGUAGGCGGCCAUGUAGGUCCGUUGUGAAAACUCGAGGCUCAACCUCGAGACGCCGAUGGAAACCUGUGGCUAGAGUCCGGAAGAGGAGAGUGGAAUUCCUGGUGUAGCGGUGAAAUGCGCAGAUAUCAGGAAGAACACCCGUGGCUAAGGCGGCUCUCUAGUACGGUACUGACGCUGAGACGCGAAAGCGUGGGGAGCGAACAGG
rnacentral:rRNA from 1 species